rnacentral:rRNA from 1 species
GACGAACGCUGGCGGCGUGCUUAACACAUGCAAGUCGAACGGAAAGGCCCUGCUUUUGUGGGGUGCUCGAGUGGCGAACGGGUGAGUAACACGUGAGUAACCUGCCCUUGACUUUGGGAUAACUUCAGGAAACUGGGGCUAAUACCAGAUAGGAGCUCCUGCUGCAUGGUGGGGGUUGGAAAGUUUCGGCGGCUGGGGAUGGACUCGCGGCUUAUCAGCUUGUUGGUGGGGUAGUGGCUUACCAAGGCUUUGACGGGUAGCCGGCCUGAGAGGGUGACCGGCCACAUUGGGACUGAGAUACGGCCCAGACUCCUACGGGAGGCAGCAGUGGGGAAUAUUGCACAAUGGGCGGAAGCCUGAUGCAGCAACGCCGCGUGCGGGAUGACGGCCUUCGGGUUGUAAACCGCUUUCGCCUGUGACGAAGCGUGAGUGACGGUAAUGGGUAAAGAAGCACCGGCUAACUACGUG